UAAGCGCGCGUAGGUGGUUUGUUAAGUUGGAUGUGAAAGCCCCGGGCUCAACCUGGGAACUGCAUCCAAAACUGGCAAGCUAGAGUAUGGUAGAGGGUGGUGGAAUUUCCUGUGUAGCGGUGAAAUGCGUAGAUAUAGGAAGGAACACCAGUGGCGAAGGCGACCACCUGGACUGAUACUGACACUGAGGUGCGAAAGCGUGGGGAGCAAACAGGAUUAGAUACCCCAGU
rnacentral:rRNA from 1 species